AUAAAUAAAUAAAUAAAUAAAAAGGUUCAAUCUGGAGCUUUAUUCAACUCUUGACAAUACAGUGAAUGACUCAAGAUUCAACACUGUCUACUACCCUAACAUGCUCAUAAUAGUUAACCCAGAUAGGUAUAUGGCAUCAUAUUUGGGAAUUCAAAAAGACAUCAAAGUUAUGAGGUAUUAAGGUGUGGGAUUUCGAGGAAGACCAUCACUGAAAGAUGUAGGACAGAAACUAACCCUCACGAUUCUCUUUUGCCACUACAGGUAAGCAAGAACUGGACGAGCUAAAGUGUGUUUUAUGUUAGAGAGAAAGAGGAUAUAGACUUGUUCCCAGAAGAAAUGAACCAGAGAGAUUCAUAGUUCAGUGUGGUUUGAAGUCCCAAGAAAUGAACUCACUGUUCCUGGAAGAAAUGAACCAGAGAGAUCCACAGUUGAGCAUGGUCUGAAGUCCAACGAUGGAAAAUAUGGCCUUUUAAGGAGGCACUUGUUUUAUCUUAUGCACUCAGUGGCUGAAGCAUGCUCUAAACGCAAGAAGCUACAGUGGUCAGAGGAGAAGGGAGGAGAAGCCCCACCUCGUAGCCACGUUCCUCCGCACACAGCUUGCCCAGAGACAUCUGCGUCUUCACGCGGCGCACAGCGCACUCCUUGUCAGAGAGCCCAUCUGAGUGCGAGGAUAUCUCAAUGGGGAUCUCUGGCGUCUGGGACAACAGGUCAUCCAGCUUCUCCGCCAGGCGGUCUUCCAGUUUAUCCGCUAACUCAUCAGGACUGUUGGAGUGGUCGCUGGUAUUUCCCUCCUCGCCAUCAGACACAGAGAAAUUCUCAGAGCUAAAGGUUGAAUAUGACUGGCAGCUGCUGAUACAGCGAUGGGGCCUAGAACCACAAGAACCGGAAGAACUUAAUCACAGGAACAACUAUGUUCUUAGACUGUAGCCUUGGUGAGAGGUUUUCUAGGUGUCUCCCUGCCCCAAGGGAGACCAAAAAAAAAAAUCUAGGUAUAAACACUAUUUAGUUUUGAAGCAAAAGAGAAGGAAAUUUGAAUGUCCUUGUUCAUUUGGUUUGUAUGUUUAUGUGGCUACAGAGUACACUCCACAGUUGAUGGCUACUGAUAGUCGUUGAGAAACUCAGCUGCUCUGAUCAGAGUGCGCACAUGCAUGCAUGGUAUGGAAAUGUUCAAACUGAAAUUCAGCUUCUUAUGGGUAGACCUCCCAGGUUCUUGCAGGUAGAAGAGUCUUGAGGGAUUCUUUGGUCUAACUCAUUUCUCAGGCCAUAAAACUGGAGCCAGACAAGGAAAGUGACUUGUUCCAGGCCACACCAUCAGAGAAGGCAGAGCUGCCACUUGGGCCAAGUCUACUCAUACCCUGCUCAGUGUCAUUCUCUAGCUGCAUUUCCCACUGGGCAUGGCAGCCACGGAAAGCCAAGUGUCUCUGCCCUGUCAGCAACACCCAAUGGAGAUGAGCUUGGAAGGGACAUUCGCUCUGCAGCUGUGGGCACUGCCUGGUCAGGUAAUGGCUCAUUCCAGUUAACAUGUGGGUUUAGCUCAGAUGAGGCAAAAUCUGCAGGAGGCCAGGGGACAGGGGGGGAAUUUGGAAACGUUCUUUAGUUUUUCCCUAUUGUUUAUAAAUAGCCUAGUAAAUAAGAAUGCUGUUAGCCCACAUUGGUUUCGAAAGAAAACAAAUAAUAAAAAGAAGACUGACUUUUUCCUC